AUCCUAGGAAGAAAGCUUUUAGUUUUCCCCAUUGAGGAUGAUGUUCACUGUGUGUUCUCCAUAUAGGGCCUUUAUUAUCUUGAGGUAUGUUCCCCCUAAACCUACUUUGUUGAAGAUUUUUUUUUAUCACAAAUGAAUGUUAUAAUUUGUCAGAUGCUUUUUGUGCAUCUUUUGAAAUGUUCAUACGGUUUUUAUCUUUCCUCUUGAUGUCAUGCUUCA